GGUGNUGCAUGGNUGUCGUCAGCUCGUGUCGUGAGAUGUUGGGUUAAGUCCCGCAACGAGCGCAACCCUUGAUCAUUAGUUGCCUAGCAUUCAGUUGAGGCACUCUAAUGGUAGACUGCCGGUGACAAACCGGAGGAAGGUGGGGAUGACGUCAAAGUCACUCAUGGCCCCUUAUGNNNNGGGCUUUACACACGUGCAUACAAUGGUAUCGGAUACAGAAGGAGCCCGCCAAACCCGCGAGGGUGGAAGCUAAUCUCCAUGAAAGUCCGUAUUCUNUAGUUCCGGAUUCGCAGGUCUGGCAACUCGACCUGCAGUGAAGCCUUGGAAUCGCUAGUAAUCGCGGAUCAGCAUGUCCGCGGUGAAUACGUUCCCGGGUCCUNGUACCACACCCGCCCGUCACACCCANGNG
rnacentral:rRNA from 1 species